rnacentral:tRNA from 1 species
GCCCGGAUGGUCUAGUGGUAUGAUUCUCGCUUGUAAGUUGGCCUUAUCAAUGCUGUAUCACUAUUAUUCGAUACUAACAAAUAAUUACAGUGGGCUCAUAGUUCCAAUCUGCGAGAGGUCCCGCGUUCAAACCGCGGUUCGGGCC